AAAUUGAAGAGUUUGAUCAUGGCUCAGAUUGAACGCUGGCGGCAGGCCUAACACAUGCAAGUCGAGCGGCAGCGGGAAAGUAGCUUGCUACUUUUGCCGGCGAGCGGCGGACGGGUGAGUAAUGCCUGGGAAAUUGCCCAGUCGAGGGGGAUAACAGUUGGAAACGACUGCUAAUACCGCAUACGCCCUACGGGGGAAAGCAGGGGACCUUCGGGCCUUGCGCGAUUGGAUAUGCCCAGGUGGGAUUAGCUUGUUGGUGAGGUAAUGGCUCACCAAGGCGACGAUCCCUAGCUGGUCUGAGAGGAUGAUCAGCCACACUGGAACUGAGACACGGUCCAGACUCCUACGGGAGGCAGCAGUGGGGAAUAUUGCACAAUGGGGGAAACCCUGAUGCAGCCAUGCCGCGUGUGUGAAGAAGGCCUUCGGGUUGUAAAGCACUUUCAGCGAGGAGGAAAGGUUG
rnacentral:rRNA from 1 species